CAAUGUGUUUUAGCCUUAUGGAUAUUGCAAAAUUCGAAUACCGUUUUUAAAAUUCCAGUAAUGUCAGAUUGUUAUUGUUAAGAGUAUGACUAUUUUUUACGUUUUGCAAAAUAAGGAAGUUAAUAUUUUUACACAUUUAAAAACAAACGCUGUGUAGAUUUAGAAUUUGCCAUGCGAAUUAUUUUACUUUACACAGACUUUAUACAAAAAACGAGUUAUAGUUUGUAUACAUAAAAGGAUUUAUUCAGCCUGUGUACUUAAAUAACAGCCAGAAUGUUAUUGUUUGUAAACAUUGAUAACUGGUACGUUUUUAACUUGGAUGACGUCACUCAAAGUUAGUUGUACAUCAAACGUUUAAAUAAACGUAUUCCUCGUGAAUAGAUUAAAAAAAUUCCGUUGUGUUUUACUUUCGUUUUCCUCUGUUUAUGUGUUAUUCCUGAAGUGUAUGUUUGUGUGUGAAUUCUGCGAAACUGUUGUUUUGUAUCCGGGUUGAUACAGUAUAAACAGAUGUUUGUGAGCAGUUGAAAACAAAAGUGUUUACAACUUGAAGAAUAACUGUAGGAAUUCAGAGAAGCUUGUUCUGUCGGAGAUGAGGCUAACUGCGGCAAAUACCCUUGCACUUGUCCUCCUGCAGAUUGUUUUUAUCCGAACAGAAGGAGCAGCGUAUUCGUCCACAGUUUGUAUAAACGCUUGUGGAAACACGUUUUCAUCCGGGUUCAGACGUAUGUGCCAGUCAUGCGCUGCCGAUCCACCAGUCGACUACGAAAUGUGCCGUUAUGCCUGUGGAAACACUUAUUAUAGCUACCCCCGACAAAUAUGUGACAUAUGUGUAUCACGUGUACCUACAUCGGAUCUGAUGUGUAUACAAGCUUGCGGAAAUACCUUAUCCAGUCGGUAUCUACAAAUAUGUGGUCGUUGUGUAGUGAAUCCGCCGGUCACCGAAACGAUGUGUAUACAUGCUUGCGGAAAUACUGUUUCUUCUAAUUUUCAAAGAAUGUGCCAUCGUUGUGUAGAAAGUCCGCCAGUCACUGACACAAUGUGUAUUCAUGCCUGCGGAAAUACUAUUUCUUCUAAUUUCCGAAGAAUUUGUGAUCGUUGUGUAGAUAACCCACCGGUCACUGACACAAUGUGCAUCCAUGCUUGCGGAAAUACUGUUUCAAGAUCUUCUUAUUUCCGAAGAAUUUGUGAUCGUUGUGUAAUGAGUCCGCCAAUAACUGACACAAUGUGCAUCUAUGCAUGCGGAAAUACAUAUUCUUCUUAUUUCCAAAGAAUCUGCAAUGCAUGCAACUAAAA
rnacentral:misc_RNA from 1 species